GACACAACCUUUAGGUUGUACUAUAUAAAUUUCUCCUUACAAAUCACCAUUUAAAAAGGUUGCUUUAACAUCUAUUUGGUGAAUAAAAAGCUUAUGUAUAGAUGUCAAAGCAAUUAAAACUUGAAUAGAAGAAAUUCUAGCCACAGAAGCAAAAGUGUCAAAUCUUGUUUUUGAGUAAAACCUUUUGCAACUAAUCUUGCUUUAUAUUUAUCAAUUAAUCCAUCAGGAUUAUAUUUUCUUUUAAAAAUUCAUUUGCAACCAAUAAGUUUAGCUCCUGGAGGUCUACCAAAAUCCAAGUAUUAUUUUGGGUAAUAAAAUCAAUUUCAGUUUUAAUUGUUUCUUUUCAAAAAGGGGCAUCAGAAGAAGCAAUAGCAUCAUAAUAAGUUAAAAGAGUCAUUUUCGAUAAGAUAUGUACAAAAAUAAUUUCCAAAAAAAAGUCUCUUUCAGGGGAAACUGCAAAGUAGUAAUAUCCAAAUGUGAAGACUGCACGUAGACAAUUGACUGCCAAAAUAUUCUAGAAUUGUGCAAUGCAAACAUGCAUAUCAUUCUCUAUUAAACAAGGAAAAAGAAGAGGCAAUGAGUUUGAUUAAACCAUGUUAAUUAUCAAGAAGAGUCCAGCCAUGGCCAUGCUUUUAUGCAAGGCAACUCCAAUAUAGUAAAAAGUUGACUAUCCCAAUAAUUAAAGAGGCAUUUACGUUGGAAUGUCCAAAUAACAUACAUUAGAGUGGAGCAAGCCUAAACAAGUUCAAUGACAAAAAUUGUUAACAAUUGACUAUGCACUCAUCAACCAAUCCAUGAUCAUAUGUUAUACAACACGUAUUCCUUUUUGCUUUAUCCAAUCAUCUCCUCAUUUUUUCCACAAAAAAAAAAA
rnacentral:misc_RNA from 1 species